UGUUGCUGGGACAGGUGGAAAUCCUUCCUCUUGCUUAGCUAGUAAAGCAGGAGCUAAUGCAGGUCCCCUUGCAAGGUCCCUCUACUCUCCUCCCUUCUGCAACUGACAAGGGGUGGGCCUGACAGCGUCCCCCUGCUGGCCUUAUGACAUGUCCAUGACGUUUCCUUUAAUACUUUUCACAGCUUUUUUCACUUUGUUUUCAAGAUCAUCCAUGUAAUAGCAUAUGCCAAAAUCUCAUACAUUUGUAAGGAUGAAUAGUAUUCCAUUGUAUGGAUAUGCCACAUUUGUUCAUCCAUUCAUCCAUGAUGGACACAGCUUGUUUCCACCUGUUGCCUGUUGCAAAUAAUGCUGCAGUGAAUGUGGGUGUGCAAAUAUCUAUCUAGUCCCAUCUUUUAGUCCUUUUGGGCAUGUAUCUAGGUGUGGAAUUACUAGUCUUAAUAGUAUUUUUAUUUUUACCUUUUAAAGAACCAUUUUGGCAUUGUUUUUAUCUUUAUGCAGGGAUGGAAACCGAGGGGCAGUUACUACUGGGCUGGCUUUUCUUUGUAGCACAUCUCAUACCUUGUCCCUUCUGGGGUGGGUGAGGCCGCUCAGAGUGAACAAAGCCUUCACACAGUAUCUAACAAAGGGAGCUUGAAAGAUCCAACUGUGAGUCACUGAAAAUUUAUUAAAUCUGGUGUGGACAGGCUGCCUCCAGUGGUCAUGUAACAAUACGACUUGGAGAAUGCAGUUUCUGCAAGCAGUAGAUGGUUCUGUGAUGCAAAAAGCUGAUGGCUGAUGCGACGCCUCUUCCCCACCCGCUAAGCAGACAUCUUCACAGUCUGGCUGCACUGGACCCUGAGGAGGCCAGGAGAAGGUGAGACGCCACCACUGUCUUCCAGGAGUCUCUGCUGGUCACUGGUUCCUAAGGAGCCCUCAGCACCACUGCUGUUUGGGAAACGCUUACCCGUUUAAACUCCAGGACUCAUUAGAGCUUUAAAUCUGUGAAUCGAAAUCGAAAUUGGGCCUGCUGUGGAUCACCUCAUUAACAGUUGUGUCCAAAAAGCAUCUAAAAGCAGGUGUGGGCUUGGAGGAAGGUUAUCAGGCCAUUUGCCUGAAACAAAUCUGUAUAUUUUAGUCUGAGGCCAGCGCAAUGCAAAAACCGUUAAAAGAUGUGCAGUUUCAGCUUGUGUCCCCAGGGCUCUAGUGUCAGGGAAUCACCACCUUUAACGGUGGCAGACAUGGAGUUACAGCUCAGGAGGAAGGUGGGAAGAAAGUGGGUACAACUAGGAACCCACAUGAUCUGCAGUGACAGGGGAUGUCAAGUAAAAGGGAGGCAGGGCAUUGAAUAUAUUUUUUCAGGUUCAAGAGGCAGGAGGGUGGUGCCCAGCAGCCCCGGGAUCCUGUAGAACUUUACAUGCUGGGAAGGAGGGUUCUUUUCCUGUUCCCCAUCCUCUCUUUGCCCUGGUAGAGACCUUUGGCAAGGAGAAAAAGACCGCUCAGUUUACUAACGCGGGAAAGCACACCUCCCAGGUCAAUGCUUUCAGCACAAGAACGCAUGUUUGGAAGAGCUGUUUUUCUUUGAAGAUCUGAAGGCAAUAAAGUUUUUUCCAGAGAUUCUGCCGAGGAACUGGGAAUGAGCCCCUGGCCCUGAGGAAUAGAGGGCACUCUGGGGCUGCCCCUCUGGGGUGGAUGGUGCGGGAUUGUCCAUCAGCUGAUCUGCAAGGAAUCUAUGGGCGAACAGGGCUCGUGCGGUGGGCUGGGCUCCCGGUAUAUGCAUGGCAGCUGAAAUGCCCCUCCUUCUGGUGAUGGACUGUAUGUCUCCCAGAGGUUCUGGGCUUGACGAAGGGAUCGCAUUGAUGACCCAUAGUGUACUGAACAAUGGACAGCCUCUCAGGAGGUGGCACUCUGCCAUUCUGGGGAGCGUUUGGCAGGUACGGGUGAUUACGGGACAAUGAAUCCGUGUGAUGGAUUCCUACAUGAAGUGCAGAAUUGGGUCUGAUGUCACUUAAGGUCAACCGUGAUUCUGACUGGAUAGGUGGUGUGCGAGUGUUCCUACAGCCCAGAGAUUCUCCUGGGCCUUGUUUACUCUGCCAAGGGAGGGGCAGUAUGCCACCCCAAAAUGUGCCUAUUUGGCAUAACGAUUAUUGAGAAACAGCAGACACAGGAAAUAGUGAAAACCGAGUAGGCAUCCCCCAUUUGUGAGGGAAAUGUACACUGUUACAGGAAAUCUCCAUUUGUAGGGGUGUCUGCCUCUGUACUUGGGAGGGAAGGAAAACUCGCAGGGAGCCCUGACCAGUGGAGAAGGCAGGUGCUUAAACCUACACUCCCUGACCCUGGUUUAGGAUCUUUUCCUGCUCUCCCCCCACCACCAGUCCCCUGCACCCUCCUCUCUCGUGUCUUUAGCUGAAGAUGGAGUCAGUUGGUGGUUGGGCUUUUUCAGGAUGUUAUUCAGUUUUCCUGGGUCUCUCCCAAGUGUACAUGAGGUUUCCAUGUUAAUAAAAUUUGUUUUUCUCUUG